GGAAACACGCAGGAAUUUAAUACACUGAAAAGGAGUGGCUAAAUUAAAGGACUACAUUACAUGAUGCAAUUGCUAAUUAGUACUUAAGUAAGUUUCUUCAUCAUUGGGAAGAGGAAGAUGAGAUCUUGUGAUGAAGAAAUUUUCAUAGAUGAACCCAGCCAACCCACCACCAAUUAGGGGUCCUACCCAGUAAACCCAAUGGUGAGUCCAGUCCCAGCUCACCAAAGCGGGCCCAAAGGAUCGUGCAGGGUUCAUAGCCGCACCAGAAAAUGAUCCACCAGCUAAGAUGUUUGCCCCAACUACGAGCCCAGUGAGCAAUGGGCCCAGCCCAUCAAUCGAUCCCUUCUUGGGGUCCACAAUAGUGCCAUAGACGGUAAACAGCAAGGAGAAGGUCAGUACGAUCUCCCACACUACCCCUUGAACGUAGCCUACCCCACUUGCCAGCGUAAUCACAGGAGUGGCCAUUCCUCCUGUGAGAUAGCUUAGGAGGAGACAAGCAGCAGAAGAUGCAACCAAUUG
rnacentral:misc_RNA from 1 species